GCCUAGUUCCCAGCCUUUUGGAAGUCUCCAAGCUUCUGCUCUUCCCCCUCUGCCCCCUAGUCCAAAGAUCUUUGCUCUCUUGCCCUGGGUUAGAAGUUGCCCUGCAGAUAUGGUUUUGGCAUUACUUAGUGUUUCCCUUUGGCCCCUCAUUUCUCCAAGCCUGCCAAUCAGUUCUCCGCCUGGAGAUGCUAUUCAUACCUGAAAAAGGAGAAAGAUGCGAUCUUAUGGGAAAGUUGCCAAACCACAUUGAGUCCCACGCCUGCUGUUUGAGUCAUCAUAAAAUACGAAUGCACCAGUCUGUGCUAAUGACGGCCUUGAAAUCAAGCAACAUGGCUGUGCAUGCAUUUAACACGCAAUAGAAAAGUAAUGAAGAGAGAAGAUGGUACCAGGAAGUGGGCUAUUGCUGUGACAGACCUGACUACUUUGAGGAAUGUGGAAGACUUUGGGAUCUUGGACUAGGAAAGUAUUGAAGACAAUAGCAUGUAGACUAUAGAGGCCCAGACUGAGAGGUUUCAAAGGCAUAUGUUAGCAACUGGGCUAGACACCAUUCUUGUGACAUUUUUUGCAACGAAUGUAGCUGCUGCUUUUUGUCCCCGUCCUAAGAAUUUGCCUGAUGCUAAAUUGAAAAGUAAUGGACUAAGUUCUUUGGUGGAGGAGAUUUUAAGGAAGCCUAAUAUUGACUUUAUUACAUGGUUGGCCAUUGCUCUUAUGCAGGUCUACAAUGGAAAAGAGCAGGUAGGACAAAGAUAUACAAAGUAUACAGUUUGAGGGGGAAAGGGGCCCCAGGAAAUUUAAUGCUGGAGCCAAGGCUUGUGCUGGGAGAGAGAAGGAGGUUAAGGAGAGGCCUGGUCUGUACUGAAAUAAACGAAAGGGGCCUCAGGACAAGACCAGAUAACCUUUAACUUGUGAGAAGAAAAGGCCUAAGGGAAUGGCAGGAGUUUUCUUUUUCUACCAAGACCCGAGAAAUGAAAGCUGCUGCAAAUAUGGUUCAAGGGGGCCAGCAUCCAUCAAUCAUACAGCAGAACUUGGCAACAUUGCCCACACGGCUCCGGCUGUGGAGUCAUGAAGAAUACAGGAGUAAAGCAGUCAUGGAUCUUCCUUCAUGUCUAAAGAAAGCUACAGAGGCCAGGCAUAUGGCAGGAGGGAGUCCCUGCAUGGAGGCCCUAAAAGGUCAUUGCAUGAUGUUGUUGAUAUUUUUGCUCUUUGGGGGGACCCACCACCCAGUUCCCAAAUAAUCACACAUAGAGGCUUAUUCUUACUUAUAAAUGCCCAGCUAGCUUGGCUUGUUUCUUGCCAACUUUUCUUUUUUCUUUUUGGUUUUUUUGAGACAGGGUUUCUCUGUGUAGUUUUGGUGCCUAUCCUAGAUCUUGCUCUGUAGACCAGGCUGGCCUUGAAUUCACAGAGAUCUACCUGCCUCUGCCUCCCGAGAGCUGGGAUUAAAGGUAUGCACCACCACCACCAGGCCUUGCCAGCUUUUCUUAACCAAUAGUAUCCCAUUAAUCUUUGUCCUCUGGGCUUUUCCUUUUCUAUUCCUGUAUUCCUUUCUUUGUUUCUUUCUCUCUGGCUUGCUGUAUAGCUGGGUGGCUGGCCCUUGAAAUACUCCUUCUUCUCUCAUUCCUUGAUCUUUCUUCAAGUCAAGGCAAGCAUUCAAGUAGGCACCUGACAUAGAAACUAUGGAGAAAAUACUGCUUGCUGGCUCAC